rnacentral:rRNA from 1 species
GACCAUGGACCGGCAAAACCGAGACGGUGAGUACUAACCUCCGCCUCGUGGUGGUUCCUUCCUUCGGGUUGGUUCCGCCGCGUGGUGUUGGGACCGUAGCCGCAGUAGGUCAGCGCAGGGGUGACACGGAAUGGGAGCCGGCCGCGGAGGUGGUUUUCCGUGGUCAAGCACGCAGCCAGUCAUGUAGGCAAAUCCGCAUGGCGUGCAUGGCGAGGUGUGAUGAUGGGAGCCUUUUGGGCUCGAUAUCCGGUUGUCCAGGCCGUCGAGAAAAGCCUCGGCGUGAGGGCCAUGGCCGCCCGUACCCCAAACCGACACUGGUGGUCAGGUAGAGAAUACCAAGGCGAUCGAGCGAAUCCUGGUCAAGGAACUCGGCAAAUCACUCCCGUGCCUUCGGUAUAAGGGAGACCCACUGGGGUGAAGGACCUUGCGUCCGGAGCUUUGGUGGGUGGCACAGACCAGGGGGUAGCGACUGUUUACCAAAAACACAGGUGCAUGCGAAGGCGAAAGCCGCUGUAUAUGCACUGACGCCUGCCCGGUGCCGGAAGGUUAAGAGGAUCCGUCAAUCCCUUCGGGGACGAAGCGGUGAAUUCAAGCCCCGGUAAACGGCGGUGGUAACUAUAACCAUCCUAAGGUAGCGAAAUUCCUUGUCGGGUAAGUUCCGACCUGCACGAAUGGCGUAAUGAUGGCCAGGCUGUCUCCACCCGAGACUCAGUGAAAUUGAACUCGCUGUGAAGAUGCAGUGUACCCGCGGCAAGACGGAAAGACCCCGUGAACCUUUACUAUAGCUUGACACUGAACAUUGAGCCUUGAUGUGUAGGAUAGGUGGGAGGCUUUGAAGCGUGGACGCCAGUCUGCGUGGAGCCAACCUUGAAAUACCACCCUUUAAUGUUUGAUGUUCUAACGUAGGCCCCUGACCGGGGUUGCGGACAGUGUCUGGUGGGUAGUUUGACUGGGGCGGUCUCCUCCCAAAGAGUAACGGAGGAGCACGAAGGUUAGCUAAUCCUGGUCGGACAUCAGGAGGUUAGUGCAAUGGCAUAAGCUAGCUUGACUGCGAGCGUGACGGCGCGAGCAGGUGCGAAAGCAGGUCAUAGUGAUCCGGUGGUUCUGAAUGGAAGGGCCAUCGCUCAACGGAUAAAAGGUACUCCGGGGAUAACAGGCUGAUACCGCCCAAGAGUUCAUAUCGACGGCGGUGUUUGGCACCUCGAUGUCGGCUCAUCACAUCCUGGGGCUGAAGUAGGUCCCAAGGGUAUGGCUGUUCGCCAUUUAAAGUGGUACGCGAGCUGGGUUUAGAACGUCGUGAGACAGUUCGGUCCCUAUCUGCCGUGGGCGCUGGAGAAUUGAGGGGGGCUGCUCCUAGUACGAGAGGACCGGAGUGGACGCAUCACUGGUGUUCGGGUUGUCAUGCCAAUGGCACUGCCCGGUAGCUAAAUGCGGAAGAGAUAAGUGCUGAAAGCAUCUAAGCACGAAACUUGCCCCGAGAUGAGUUCUCCCUGAGACUAUAAGUCUCCUGAAGGAACGUUGAAGACGACGACGUUGAUAGGCCGGGUGUGUAAGCGCAGCGAUGCGUUGAGCUAACCGGUACUAAUGAACCGUGAGGCUUAACC